rnacentral:rRNA from 1 species
UUAUUAUUUACAAUAAUGAUUAGGUUUUGUGCAAUUCGACCUAGCUUGAAUUUAACGAGUUGAUUACUUUAAUAUAUAUAUUUAUGUUGAAUUUAUUAGAAAUAACUUUUUUAUUAGUAGUGUUUAUUGAAAUUUUUAUGUGUGUGAUAGUUUAUAGUACUGUAAAGGAAUUAUAAAUUUUAAUUUUAAGCAAAUUUUAUUUAUUGUACCUUUUGUAUCAGGGUUUAUUAAUAUAAAGAUUAAUUAUUUAGUUUUCCCGAAAUUAGAAGAGAUAUAUUUUUAUGAUAGUUUCUGUUUUAUAAUAAUUAUUAAUUUAAAUAUAGGGGUUAUAUGCUAUUCAUUUUUAAAUAUCUGGUUAUCUAAUAAAUUAAUUUAAUUAAAAUAAUUAAAUGUUGAUUUAUUUAUAUUAUUUUUCAAUUUUAAUUAAUAAAGGAUAAGCUUUUUUGAUUUUUUAUAAUUUUAUUAAAAUUUAAUUUUUGUAGGAUUAGUAACUUUCAUCAUUAAUUUCGUUAUAGUUUAGUUUAAUUUUAUUUUUAUUUAUUAUUAAAAUUUAAUUUUUUAUUAAAAUGUUUUAUUUAAUCUUUUUUUAUUUAUAAUAAUGAUAAAAUUAGUAUUUUUUUAUAUAAAAUAUAGUAACUCGGCAAUUUUAGUUUUCACCUGUUUAUCAAAAACAUGUCUUUUUGUUUUUAUAUAAAGUCUAGUCUGCUCUAUGAUUAAUUUUAAAUGGCCGCAGUAUUUUAACUGUGCAAAGGUAGCAUGAUCAUUUGCUUCUUAAUUAGGGGCUUGUAUGAAUGGCUGGAUGAGAAACUAACUUUCUUUAUUUUAUUUUAAAUAAUUUUAUUUUUUAGUUAAAAAGCUAAAAUAUUUUUAUUAGACGAGAAGACC